AAACUGGAGCACAUUAACACACGAUCCUCUACCUGUUGGGUUAGAGAAAGAAGAAUGGGAUAUUUUGCCCGUGUUUACUAAACCUCUUCAGCGAAGAAACUCUUCAAGCUCAAACCAGCAAUCCAGCGAAAAUCUCCAAAGCAUGUUGAGCUCAACCACGUUGGAACCCUUGGAGAUGAAAGAGACAAUUUGCUUAGAAGAAGAAAGCGUUCCUAUGAUCGACGACGAUUUCAGCACAAAUCGAUGUGAACAAAGCCCCAUCUCUUCUUCUUUCUUCUCUUCCAAAUCAUUCAAGAGUUGUGAAAAAGAUCACGAGGAACAAGACGCCUUUGCGGGAAUUUUCAACGGAUUAUUGUAAUCCACUCACAGAAAUGAUCGAAAGCACGGAA